rnacentral:tRNA from 1 species
UGGGUCUUAAGUUAAAUUAAACUAAUAGCCUUCAAAGCUGCAAAUAAAAUACAAUCUUUUAGACCUUG